GCGAGUGCAGUACGUGCGCGCCGGUUCCUCCUCCGGCCUCCGCCGGGAAACGUUAGGGAGGAGGUUUUCAGACCGCUCACCCCUCACUCCUCGAGCGCGAAACGGGGUGGGAAAAGUGAAAUUGGGGUCAGGGUUUCUGCCUGGCGAGAAAGAAGGCGUCUGCAUAGGGUCAUUUUGAGCAUGUUUUGUGCGCAGUCAUGCAAAGUUACAGGCCGGUCCCUUCCGCCUGGGGAAUGGCCUGUCUCCGCUGAGUGAAAAUGCCGUAUUUAUCCGUUAAUCAGAAACGCAUCGAGCAGAGCAUCUACCUAUCUACUUGAGGCUCUCAAUCUACUUCAGCCCCAGCAUGCAAAUACUAAAGAAGAAACAAUAAUGCUCUUCUCCCAAAGCUCCUAAUUGCACUGGUCUUGAACCUCCAGCUGUACUGAAGUUCAUUUGUGCCUUUCUGAG